rnacentral:tRNA from 1 species
GGAGAGAUGGCUGAGUGGUUGAUAGCUCCGGUCUUGAAAACCGGUAUAGUUCUAGGAACUAUCGAGGGUUCGAAUCCCUCU